AUACGGAGGGUGCGAGCGUUAAUCGGAAUUACUGGGCGUAAAGCGUACGUAGGCAGUUGGUUAAGUUAGAUGUGAAAGCCCCGGGCUUAACCUGGGAACUGCAUUUAAAACUGGCGAACUAGAGUUGAGUAGAGGGGAGUGGAAUUUCAGGUGUAGCGGUGAAAUGCGUAGAGAUCUGAAGGAACACCAGUGGCGAAGGCGACUCCCUGGACUCGAACUGACGCUGAGGUACGAAAGCGUGGGUAGCAAACGGGAUUAGAAACCCUAGUAGUCC
rnacentral:rRNA from 1 species